AGAGAAGCGAGAUAGUGAUAUUAAGCGAAACUCAAAAAGACGGUCUCAGUUCGGACUGAAGGCUGAAAUUCGCCUUCACGAAGUCGGAAUUGCUAGUAAUCGCGGAUCAGAAUGCCGCGGUGAAUACGUUCCCGGGUCUUGUACACACCNCCCGUCACACCAUGGGAGUCAGUAACGCCCGAAGUCAGUGACCUAACCGAAAGGGAGGAGCUGCCGAAGGCGGGACGGAUGACUGGGGUGAAGUCGUAACAAGGUAGC
rnacentral:rRNA from 1 species